rnacentral:rRNA from 1 species
CCUACGGGGGGCAGCAGUGGGGAAUAUUGGACAAUGGGCGAAAGCCUGAUCCAGCCAUGCCGCGUGUGUGAAGAAGGCCUUCGGGUUGUAAAGCACUUUCAGUGGGGAAGAAAGCCUUGGGGCUAAUACCCUCGAGGAAGGACAUCACCCACAGAAGAAGCACCGGCUAACUCCGUGCCAGCAGCCGCGGUAAUACGGAGGGUGCGAGCGUUAAUCGGAAUUACUGGGCGUAAAGCGCGCGUAGGCGGUCUGAUAAGCCGGUUGUGAAAGCCCCGGGCUCAACCUGGGAACGGCAUCCGGAACUGUCAGGCUAGGGGGCAGGAGAGGAAGGUAGAAUUCCCGGUGUAGCGGUGAAAUGCGUAGAGAUCGGGAGGAAUACCAGUGGCGAAGGCGGCCUUCUGGACUGACACUGACGCUGAGGUGCGAAAGCGUGGGUAGCAAACAGGAUUAGAUACCCGGUAGUC